AGUGAGAGAGAGAGAGAGAGAGAGAGAGAGAGAGAGUACAAGUAGUUGUUUUCUUGGUUUUGGUCUAGUAAAAGCUUGGGAGUGAGUGUUCAAAGAACAACACCAAGAUAAAAAGAGAUAAAAGGAGGUAGUGUGGGAGAGAGAGACAGAGAUACCCGGAAACUCACACUGACCCCUUUGCAGUUUUUGCUAUAUACUUAUUGAUUUCCUCAAAUCAUAUUGUAGCUCUCUUCUCUCUCUCUCUCUCUCUCUCUCUCUCUCUCUCUCUCUCUCUCUCUCUCUCU
rnacentral:miRNA from 1 species